rnacentral:rRNA from 1 species
UACGUAGGGGGCAAGCGUUAUCCGGAUUUACUGGGUGUAAAGGGAGCGUAGACGGCGAUGCAAGUCUGAAGUGAAAGGCGGGGGCCCAACCCCCGGACUGCUUUGGAAACUGUAUGGCUGGAGUGCAGGAGAGGUAAGUGGAAUUCCUAGUGUAGCGGUGAAAUACGUAGAUAUUAGGAGGAACACCAGUGGCGAAGGCGGCUUACUGGACUGUAACUGACGUUGAGGCUCGAAAGCGUGGGGAGCAAACAGG